AUGGUUACGGAAGCUAAAAAACUGUCGUUGAAUGAUUCCCCGGAUAAGAUUCUAUGGGCCUUUGGUAGUAAAGGGAAAUUUACUACUAAAUCCUUAUAUGAAUGGUUGGAAAGGAAUUUAUCAGGUCCUAACUAUAAGAUGGUGUGGAAAACACCUAUCCAAUUGAAAAUUAAAAUCUUCCUUUGGCAGCUGUUUCAAAAUGCAGUUCUUACUCGUGAUAACAUGCGCAUUAGGAACUGGCCUGGAAAUCCCACGUGCUCCUUCUGUGCUGACAUUGAAACAACAAAUCAUUUAUUCUUUACCUGUUCGCUUGCUCGUUUGGUAUGGGGAGUGUUGGGCAUGACGGCUGGGUCAUCCUGUUGUCCUCGUUCUCUUUGGCAAAGCUUCGCUUGGCUGUAUAAUCCGGGAGGGAAACAUUUCUACAUGAUGAUUAUUGCUGCAAUAUGCUGGGGGGUUUGGAUCCUCCGCAAUAAAGUUACAUUUGAUAAUCAUAUUGUUCGUUCCCUUUGGAGGCUGUUUUUGUUGGGGAACGUAGUAAUUUCAAAAAUUUUCCUACGCACACGCAAGAUCAUGGUGAUGCAUAGCCACGAGAGGGGAGAGUGUGAUCUACGUACCCUUGUAGACCGACAGCGGAAGCGUUAG
rnacentral:rRNA from 1 species